UUGGCCUUUGGCCAUUAAAAAAAAAAAAAAUAUAUAUAUAUAUAUAUAUAUAUAUAAAGAAAAAAAAAGGUAAAGUUGACGUUUGGGAUAAAAAAAAAAGGGAUGGGUUCUAGAAAUCCCUAUUUUCCCUUCCUGCCUUCCCUCCAGCCGAAAGUAAUGAAGGGGGUUUACCCCUUUUAGCUCUUCACUUGUCCAAAAGGAAAUCUAAGGAAGAUGAGUUUAGUUUUCUUUACUAGUGAAGAUUAGAACAAGUGAGGAUCUUUCCUUUGUCUCCAUUUAAGAUAAGGAAGAGAAGGACAAGGGGAUGACACAAGUCGACGAACACCCUGGAAGUUGAAUAUCAAGAAAUUGUGUUGAGGUGUGUAGAGUCGACUAGCUGAUUUUCAAGUGGCAGCUCUAAUGUGGGUUAGUUGACGGGAGUCCAGGAGUACACUUCUUUUGGGUGAGCUGCCAAAGUGUUUGUAUCGUUAGUUUCUGUUUGUAAAUGAUCCUUUUGUGGCGUAGUAGACUAAAAUGAUAUCGACCUCAGUGGGUUGGAGAUUCUACUUACCUGGGCCAUGAAAACCAUGUAUAUAUAACUACUCGUCUUUUGGCUCGUAUAGUUUUGCUCAUGUACAUUUUCCUCAAAUAGCCUGAAAAUGUUUUCUUGUUAGAAGCCCUAAAGGUCUUUUGUGAACUUAUUUUAAUCUGUAAGGUUUUAUGAACGGCUCUUGAAGAAUCACUAUGAGCUUGGUUAUGUUUAAAACUGUGGGUGUGUAUCUAUUACCUAAGUGGUAUGUUGAAAAAAAAUUCAGAUUUUUGUUCCUUGGAAUAUAAAUAGUUUUAUUUGCAAAGUAAUUUGGAACUGCUAAAAUUGUUCUUACAGGAAAACAGC